rnacentral:tRNA from 1 species
GGGUGAUUAGCUCAGCUGGGAGAGCACCUCCCUUACAAGGAGGGGGUCGGCGGUUCGAUGCAGUUGACUUUUAAUCAAUUGGUCGCAGGUUCGAAUCCUGCACGACCCACCA